UACAGAGGGGGCAAGCGUUGUUCGGAAUUACUGGGCGUAAAGGGCUCGUAGGUGGCCAACUAAGUCAGACGUGAAAUCCCUCGGCUUAACCGGGGAACUGCGUCUGAUACUGGAUGGCUUGAGUUUGGGAGAGGGAUGCGGAAUUCCAGGUGUAGCGGUGAAAUGCGUAGAUAUCUGGAGGAACACCGGUGGCGAAGGCGGCAUCCUGGACCAAUACUGACACUGAGGAGCGAAAGCCAGGGGAGCAAACGGG
rnacentral:rRNA from 1 species